rnacentral:rRNA from 1 species
UCUAGAUAGAAAAUAGGUGCCCGUACCGCAAACCGACACAGGUAGUCAAGAUGAGAAUUCUAAGGUGAGCGAGCGAACUCUCGUUAAGGAACUCGGCAAAAUGACCCCGUAACUUCGGGAGAAGGGGGGCUCUUUAGGGUUAACGCCCAGAAGAGCCGCAGUGAAUAGGCCCAAGCGACUGUUUAUCAAAAACACAGGUCUCUGCUAAACCGUAAGGUGAUGUAUAGGGGCUGACGCCUGCCCGGUGCUGGAAGG